rnacentral:rRNA from 1 species
UACGUAGGGGGCAAGCGUUGUCCGGAUUUAUUGGGCGUAAAGAGCGUGUAGGCGGCCAAACAGGUCCGUUGUGAAAACUGGAGGCUCAACCUCCAGACGUCGACGGAAACCGUGUGGCUAGAGUCCGGAAGAGGAGAGUGGAAUUCCUGGUGUAGCGGUGAAAUGCGCAGAUAUCAGGAAGAACACCAAUGGCGAAGGCAGCUCGCUGGGACGGUACUGACGCUGAGACGCGAAAGCGUGGGGAGCGAACAGG